rnacentral:rRNA from 1 species
AUGGAUGCUCGACUUGAAGCUUCUGAGGAAGCGAAGAUGCAAGACAUGGAGCAGGAACAAAAUCCCACUACGACAAGUCUAGCAACAAGUCCUACAGCUUCACCCAAUGCUCAAAGUCCUACAACUUCAGCUCCCACCUCAGAUGCCACAAUAUCUCACCCGUACACUCUGGUAUGGCCAGUACGCUUUGCUGCUCCUACAGGAGCAUUGUUUGGUUUUGUGGUUCAGCGAACUCCGCAAGUCAAGCACCUCAUCCAAGAGAUGCAACACGAAGGUGCUGUGAUGGUUGCUAUGCAAGGGCAGAUGAUAGGGUCAGGUCUUCGCUUGGGCAGGCAGUAG